AGAGUUUGAUCAUGGCUCAGAUUGAACGCUGGCGGCAUGCCUUACACAUGCAAGUCGAACGGUAACAGGUCUUCGGAUGCCGACGAGUGGCGAACGGGUGAGUAAUACAUCGGAACGUGCCCAGUAAUGGGGGAUAGCUCGGCGAAAGCCGGAUUAAUACCGCAUACGCCCUGAGGGGGAAAGUGGGGGACCGCAAGGCCUCACGUUAUUGGAGCGGCCGAUGGCUGAUUAGCUAGUUGGUAGGGUAAAGGCCUACCAAGGCGACGAUCAGUAGCUGGUCUGAGAGGACGAUCAGCCACACUGGGACUGAGCCACGGCCCAGACUCCUACGGGAGGCAGCAGUGGGGAAUUUUGGACAAUGGGGGAAACCCUGAUCCAGCAAUGCCGCGUGUGCGAAGAAGGCCUUCGGGUUGUAAAGCACUUUUGUCAGGGAAGAAAUCCUUUGGGCUAAUACCCUAGGGGGAUGACGGUACCUGAAGAAUAAGCACCGGCUAACUACGUGCCAGCAGCCGCGGUAAUACGUAGGGUGCAAGCGUUAAUCGGAAUUACUGGGCGUAAAGCGUGCGCAGGCGGUUGUGUAAGACAGGUGUGAAAUCCCCGGGCUUAACCUGGGAAUUGCAUUUGUGACUGCACGACUAGAGUGUGUCAGAGGGGGGUGGAAUUCCACGUGUAGCAGUGAAAUGCGUAGAUAUGUGGAGGAACACCAAUGGCGAAGGCAGCCCCCUGGGAUAACAUUGACGCUCAUGCACGAAAGCGUGGGGAGCAAACAGGAUUAGAUACCCUGGUAGUCC
rnacentral:rRNA from 1 species